rnacentral:rRNA from 1 species
GAUGGGAAUUUAAACCUCUUCCAGAGUAUCAAUUGGAGGGCAAGUCUGGUGCCAGCAGCCGCGGUAAUUCCAGCUCCAAUAGCGUAUAUUAAAAUUGUUGCAGUUAAAAAGCUCGUAGUUGAAUUUCUGCUGCAUUGCAUUUGCUCCUUGACGAGUGUCUGUAUUGCGGCUUAUUUCGGAUUAUGCUUGCAUUUUCCGGAUGUUUACUUUGAGAAAAUUAGAGUGCUCAAAGCAGGCUUUUGCCUUGAAUAGUUUAGCAUGGAAUAAUAAAGUAGGACUUUGGUUCUAUUUUGUUGGUUUUAGGUACCAAAGUAAUGGUUAAUAGGAACAGUUGGGGGCAUUCGUAUUUA